rnacentral:rRNA from 1 species
CCUACGGGAGGCAGCAGUGGGGAAUCUUGCACAAUGGGCGAAAGCCUGAUGCAGCGACGCCGCGUGGGGGGUGAAGCAUUUCGGUGUGUAAACCCCUUUCGACUGGGAAGAAUACCUCGCAAGAGGGGUGACGGUACCAGUAGAAGAAGCCCCGGCUAACUACGUGCCAGCAGCCGCGGUAAU